GACGAACGCUGGCGGCGUGCUUAACACAUGCAAGUCGAGCGGUAAGGCCCUUUCGGGGGUACACGAGCGGCGAACGGGUGAGUAACACGUGGGUGACCUGCCCUCAGCUCUGGGAUAAGCCCGGGAAACUGGGUCUAAUACUGGAUAUGACUCCAUGACGCAUGUUGUGGGGUGGAAAGCCUUGUGCGGCUGAGGAUGGGCCCGCGGCCUAUCAGCUUGUUGGUGGGGNGAUGGCCUACCAAGGCGACGACGGGUAGCCGGCCUGAGAGGGCGACCGGCCACACUGGGACUGAGACACGGCCCAGACUCCUACGGGAGGCAGCAGUGGGGAAUCUUGCGCAAUGGGCGAAAGCCUGACGCAGCGACGCCGCGUGAGGGAUG
rnacentral:rRNA from 1 species